UGAAAAGCAAGGAUAGGGACAGUACAUGAAGUACUUUUCUUCAGAGAGUUAUCGGUUGGUGAAAGAUAACGAAAAGUUUCAUAGUAAAUCACCCUUGAGCUGACAUCUGAAAUUUAGUAAGAGCGUUCGUAUGUUCUGCGUUAAAGAAUAGUACAUAGUGGUGUAUGAAUUAAGUGAUUGCUUUUUUGCAAUAAAAAGAGUGGUACCACGGAGAUUACGGUCUUCGUCUCUUUA
rnacentral:ncRNA from 1 species